AUAUGAUAUAUUAUGUAUUAAUAAUCUAAUUUAAAACUUAAAUACUAAUUCAGAUAUGAGUUUUUAUGGAAAUAAUUAAAUAAAAUUGUUUCAAAAACCGAGAACCAAACAAAAACCAUACCAAAUCAAAUCCCAUACCAAAUCAAAUCGGAAUCGAAGAACUAAAAACCAUAUCAAACUAGAAUCGAAACAACAAAGAAUUGAACCAGAACCGUAGCGAAAUUUUGAUUCGGUUCUUGUUACUAGAUAGACCCUGAACCAAACAGAGGUGCAUACCCUUAGUUGGUGCAACAGAUGUGUAUCUCCUCUUGUCAUCUAAAUUUGGUGGACCCACUUUAGCUUGAAGGUUUCUAUUCUUGUCAUUCCGCUGCAUCAAAUGGCUAGAAGAAAUUAUUAUUCUAUUGCUACUCCAAAAAAAAAUGUCCUUAUCCAUUCUGUAUCAUCAAACAACUAUGAAGAAAUUACUAAUGUUGUGAAUUUCUAACCUAAUUAUAUGAUCAGUACAUUUGUUUAAAUUUAUUUCUUUUAUAACAUGAGAGGUUGAAUAUGGGUUCCAAAGUGAGAGUUAGGGUGAUCUUCCCUGGA
rnacentral:misc_RNA from 1 species